rnacentral:rRNA from 1 species
GACGAACGCUGGCGGCGUGCUUAACACAUGCAAGUCGAACGGAAAGGCCCUGCUUGCAGGGUACUCGAGUGGCGAACGGGUGAGUAACACGUGGGUGAUCUGCCCUGCACUUCGGGAUAAGCCUGGGAAACUGGGUCUAAUACCGGAUAGGAGCCAUUUUUAGUGUGAUGGUUGGAAAGUUUUUUCGGUGUAGGAUGAGCUCGCGGCCUAUCAGCUUGUUGGUGGGGUAAUGGCCUACCAAGGCGGCGACGGGUAGCCGGCCUGAGAGGGUGGACGGCCACAUUGGGACUGAGAUACGGCCCAGACUCCUACGGGAGGCAGCAGUGGGGAAUAUUGCACAAUGGCGCAAGCCUGAUGCAGCGACGCCGCGUGGGGGAUGACGGCCUUCGGGUUGUAAACUCCUUUCGCUAGGGACGAAGCUUUUUGUGACGGUACCUAGAUAAGAAGCACCGGCUAACUACGUG